GCUGGUUUCCAUUUACCACCCACUUUUGUUGGGAUCCCUGACCCGUAGGGGCGGCGCAAAAGGGAGUCCCCUAGGCAGCUCGUUGUCCUUAUACCUAGAUUUGCACGGAGGACUUGAUUCCAGUUCCUUUCAAAGCGGGCAGCUCAGGGAGAUGGCUCAUGGCCACGGGCCAGAGACUCGGGGAGUUGCGAGUGGAAGAGUCCGACAUGUACUGAGGAGAGCGGCGAGCUGGGCCGGGCCGGGGAGGUUAGAAAGCACCGCUUUGCAGCGAAGGGCUGUGCACGCACAGGGACACGCGCACCACGCGUCCCCCCCCCUGCCCGGACUCGGCAUCCCGGAAGAGAAGCCCUUUCGGUCCCCGGCCGGGAGUAAGCAGUCCGCCCGAAGCCCAUCCGGGAAAGUCAGGUCCCCAAUUCCUGGCAAAUGCCCAGGGAGCACCUCCUCUGACGGAGCCGCACCCCGUGCCACCGGCUUCUCCGAGACUUUCUGUCCGGGAAAUGAGAAUGGGGCGCGGACAGCUACCUGGAGGCAAGAAGCCGGCUCUGCCCCUAACCAAGAUGGUGGCCCGGAUGAGGGGAGGGAGCUGAGGUGCCGGUGAAGCCACAGGGAAGGCGGAAGUCCCUGGGUCCCGGGCUCCCGGGACCUUUAGCUCCUUCCCUCGCGGGGUAUGGGACUCGUCUGCUAGGUGCCGGGGGGGCUGCGUGGCGGGGGCGGGGCUCUAGUUCGAUCGGGGCAGUAAGUCUCCGGAAGACCCUUUUGCUUUUUGUUUUGUUUUUUGUCGGGGGGAAGGGGCGGGUUACGGUCCGAGGUGGCUGAGCGGGGGCUGGAGGUAGGAUUCUUGUCGCCUUAACCCUCCCGGUUCCCUGUGCCUUCCCGGGCCUAGCGAGGGGAUGUCCCAGCGGAAAGGAAAUGGAGGGACACUGGUGCACCUGCCGCCCCCCGCCCAUCCCCGGGUGAAUGACGCCCCGUCCUCUGCACACACGGCCUCUGACGCCUUGAGAGUCAAUUUAGAAGCCUGAACCCAUCCCCGGGGGGCUGUAGUAGAGACCGUGCGAGCGCCUGCGGGACACCAGUCACGGUCAGUAAAGGCGAGUUGCUUUGGGCCGGCUGUGAGCUGCACAGCAGCCUUCGGGCAUGGAACGUGACCUGCAGGAGUCCCCCCCUCAUCUAGGAGGAGGAAAGUGGGCGGUGGAAGAGGACAUACAGGGUGCUGGAUUCUGCCUUCGAAUCUGAACUUGGACACUUAGCUAGCAGGGUGAUCCCGGCAAGUUCUCAUCUCUAAGAUGGGGAUUCCAGCGCUUCAGGGGGUUGUAGCGAAGAACAAAUGAGAACAUGGAACAAGUUCAUGCACACAAAUAGUUGUCGCCAUGUAGAGAAUGGCAGCUAGAAACCGUAUGAGUUAAGAAAUGCAAACUUUUUGUACACAAAAAAAAUUGGUGAUUCCCCCCAAAAUUAUUAGAAUGAAAUGUUUGUUGUUUCCCAGAAAGAUUAUCGUAUAUUUUGAAAACUACUGGUCUAGCUAGAUAGGGGUAGUUAUAAUAGAAGGGAAUAGGAGAUAAUCAUCCUGGGGAACUUAUGGUCUAUAUAUGGAGUGAUAGAGUACCAGAGAGAAAUGGGAAGGUAGCAGCCAAGCCCCGUGGGUAUCUUACCCUUAUUUCCAAAGGAAAAUGAAGACUGCCAUGAGGGAUAUCUUAUUUCCACUUAACUGGCCCGUGAUUCUACCUACCCAGAGUAGAGUUCAAUCCUAAAAGAUUAAUGAUUGAAGUUUCAGCCUUGCAUACUUGGAAGAGCCUUUGUGGAGAAAAUGCACAAAUGCGUCCAGAUGAAUUACCCCUCUCCGGAGCACAGGUGUGCACCCCCCACCCCCCCUGGUUCUGAUGCCCUAAAAGGCAGGUUAGAAGGGUGAUUUGGAACUUAAAACAUGAAGAAGUGCUCAUGCAUUUCCCUCUCCAGGAUGUAAGGGGCAGUACUGCCUACUCAGCUGCUCCACUUUUUUCAUUAAGAGGACAACUGAAAAAUAACAAAUGCACCAGGGAUCCCUGUCCUUUCAUUAAUUACUCAUUUCAGUAAUGCUUUGUGGUUUACAAAGGCUCUUUCCUGGAAACACCCCUGUUACAAUAAGUAUUAUCUCUCUCUCUCAGUGAGAAAACCACUGUGCUAUGUCUCGCCUUACCGCGUUAGAGCCAGGUGUGCAGGGACCUGAUUCUCCUGCCUGGAUGCCCACCUCUCCAUGGGUUUCUCAGGGUGUUUAACCUCCCUCCAGAUGCUGAGGUAGGACACUCCCUGCAGACCUGGACACUAGCUACAGUCACACAUCUCAGCCAGCCCGACCCGUUCACACGGCUACUCACAAGGCUGAGAUGCAGCAGUUAAGGAGCUUGGGCUGGCCCACGAGCUUCAGCCUGCGGAAAUGGGCUGCCUGCACCAGUGCCUCCUCACAGCCCUCGGCUGAUUCCGGACCCACAGACUCAGUCCAAGGGCCAAGAGCUAGGCGAGCAGACCACGAGGGAUGUCUCCUGGGCGAGCAGAGGCCUCUCAGGGCUAACAUGGCUUUUGGCUGACAGCACAUCGAGCGACUUCGCAAGAAAUGGAUGGCAUCCCAGGAGGAUGGCCUCAGUAAAUUGGCCAAGGUGUCCCAUUGAGCAGCCCUAAAGGGAAGGCAAUCCUCAGACCUCUUCAGGGGGUAGCUAGGGGGAAAGACUUGGGCCUAGGUCUCCUUCCCACUCUCCUCAGAAACUAACCCUGUUGUGUGCCAUCUUCUUGCUGCUCAUUAUGAUCCCCAAGAGGGGCAGGGAAAAGAGGGGGGGACUUGACCAGAAUAAUUGGGCCUUACAGAGUUUUGGCUGCCUUGCCACCACUCCCAACUGGCUGUUUAGCUUGGAAGGAAAAGAUUAGAGGGGAAAAGGGGUUCAACUUCAUCUCCAAGUUUACCCACUUUCUAUGCCAUGGAUAGAGUACCCAAACUUUAUGCUGGAUGAAAAACCCCAAGAGGACUUAAUCAAUUUUAAAAUAAAAAUCCAACUUUUCAAAUGAUUGCUACAAGCUUAUCUCUGGUUUCUGGA